rnacentral:rRNA from 1 species
UACGUAGGGUGCGAGCGUUGCUCGGAAUUAUUGGGCGUAAAGCGCGCGUAGGCGGUUACUCAAGUCGGAUGUGAAAGCCCUCGGCUUAACUGAGGAAGUGCACCCGAAACUGAGUAGCUAGAGUACCAAAGAGGGUCGCGGAAUUCCCGGUGUAGAGGUGAAAUUCGUAGAUAUCGGGAGGAACACCGGUGGCGAAGGCGGCGACCUGGGUGGAUACUGACGCUGAGGCGCGAAAGCGUGGGGAGCAAACAGG